ACCAAAAUCGAGAAUUCCAAGGAUCUGGCAUCAAUAACACAAGUGGCAUGAAAUGCAAGUCAAUCCAUCAACUAACGGUAGGCUGUCAUCAGAAUCAAUCACCCAAUUGAACCAUAUGAAGAUUCUAAAAUACAGACUAAAGCAACAAUGCCCAGUUGACCCAAGAAUAUAAUGCCAGAAAAUUAGUGCAUUGUGGUACAAUGUAAUGGAAUGUCACGAAGUAUAUCCUCAAUAGAACUCUGAACGACAAAUUAAGCUCUUUUGAGACCUACCAUAUAUGCACUUCACUUAUAAAAUACAUCACAAUAAAAAUACAAAAAAAAAAAAA
rnacentral:misc_RNA from 1 species